UUAACCCAUUUAACAACUCAACCCAACAAAUUAAAUGAGUUAUGGGUUGACCCAACUCAUUUUUGAUAAAUGAGUUGGGUCAACCAAUAACUCAUUUAACCCUAAACUCAUUUGAUUAUGAGU